UACGUAGGGUGCAAGCGUUGUCCGGAAUUAUUGGGCGUAAAGAGCUCGUAGGCGGUUUGUUGCGUCGGCUGUGAAAUCCCGAGGCUCACCCUCGGGUCUGCAGUCGAUACGAGCAAACUAGAGUGUUGCAGGGGAGACUGGAAUUCCUGGUGUAGCGGUGAAAUGCGCAGAUAUCAGGAGGAACACCGGUGGCGAAGGCGGGUCUCUGGGCAACAACUGACGCUGAGGAGCGAAAGCGUGGGGAGCGAACAGG
rnacentral:rRNA from 1 species